UUGACCUGAAAUUGCAACUAUUUUUUGCCUUUUUGCUGUGUUAUGUCCACUAUCUACUCUAUGUGAAUACCUGUUUGUUGGUUACAGGUGCAUGUCCUCAUUGUAUCAAGACCCACAGUGGUCACAGCAUGCAGAGGAGGCUGCAAAUAAAGCACUUUUGAGCAUGUCUGAGGGGGAGGGUGUCAUUCCAUGAUGGCGUCGAGUGGAUGAAGCAGAGAUAUGCAGAAGAAUAUUUUUCCCUCUCUGAUGUGUGGGGGGUGAUUACAUGCUGGAUAAAGGGUGUAUCUCUGGAGACCAGGCCUUUUAUGGAUGACAAAGAUGAAAAUGGGACCAAUCCUUACCCACUCUACAGUGCAAUGGAAAAACAUUGCUUUCACAAGGAACAGCGAAAAGAAAUGGGGUUUGAGUUUAGCCCCCAUGAAGUUGGCUUCCUAGAGCCUGGACAUCACUGCUGAAGAAGGACUUUGAGGGAGGGACAUUGAAACCUGUGCAGCCUGUGCAGAGGAAGCCAAUGGACAUGGUUGAACUGCAAGGUUAUCUUUUGCUAUUAACACCCCAAUGCAAUAGCUCGACACAAUAAAUGCUGAUGUUCUAAUCCAGCACUACCGGUUGUACCACACUCCCCAGAAAGAGGAAGAACUCUGCUGAAAUGUGAUGCAUA